AGGGCCCAGCUCCACGGAGGUGCAUACAACGCUGUGGAAAUGCUGGAGAAAGUGCUGAACCAAGAGAGUCCUUUUCCAAUGUUGGAUUACCUGCAGCAGGAGCUCCCCUUGCCUCUGGUUCUAGACAUUGGUGAAGUGAUGAAGAUGGAAGAUACGUCCUAUGAUGAAUUCCUCUUGGUUUCUAUAAUCACAAAGUAAAGAUGUCCUCUGGGGUCCUGCUUGAAAACCAAGAAGCCAGAAUCGUCUCUCACCACCUCCGUUCCAUCUGGGGCCAUUUCCUUCAGUAGCACCAACCAGCAGCAGGAAAUGGUGCUGCCUCCAAGUUUGGAAAGCCUAGGAUCUCUAUAGCAAAGGCCUCGCUUAGGAUUUAAAUUGCUUAAAAGUUCUGUGUUGAGGCAAGAGGCAAUGGGCAGUGCAAGGUGGGAGCCACACACAGGGUCCUGAAUGCUCCUCUUGGUGAAGCAGCACCCAUCGAUUUGACUGGAGCUCCCUUGAAAGUGCUUUCAAGUGGUUAGUGUCCAGUGGGGAGAAAGUCGUAUUUCCCAUAGCAUCAAUCCCUCUUGAUGGAUGAAAUGAGCAUGGAGGUCUCCAAAUCUCCUUCGAUACUCCAACCAGGUGUAUCUUAGCAGGUGUUUGCCCAGUGUA